rnacentral:rRNA from 1 species
GACGAACGCUGGCGGCGUGCUUAACACAUGCAAGUCGAACGGAAGGGCCUGCUUUCCCUUGUGGAUUGCGGGUACUCGAGUGGCGAACGGGUGAGUAACACGUGAGUGAUCUGCCCCCAACUUGGGUAUAAGCCUGGGAAACUGGGUCUAAUUCCCGAUAGGACUGCAGGGUGGUGCCUGUGGUGGAAAACGAUUUUCUAGUGGUUGGGGAUGAGCUCGCGGCCUAUCAGCUUGUUGGUGGGGUAAUGGCCUACCAAGGCGGCGACGGGUAGCCGGCCUGGGGGGGUGGACGGCCACAUUGGGACUGAGAGACGGCCCAGACUCCUACGGGAGGCAGCAGUGGGGAAUAUUGCACAAUGGGCGGAAGCCUGAUGCAGCGACGCCGCGUGGGGGAUGACGGCCUUCGGGUUGUAAACUCCUUUCGACCGCGAGGAAGCCACCUGGUUGGAAGGGUGGUGACGGUAGUGGUAGAAGAAGCACCGGCUAACUACGUG